UAAUCUUCAUAUGAUUUUUUUCCUUACCAUUUAAAGAUGUGAAAAAAAUUCUUAGCUCAAGUGCUAAACGGUGGCCUGGAUUCAGUUUUCGGGUGGUAUUUGGCCAACCACUCUUAGAUAACAGCAUCUGGCCUGCGGAAGUUGUUUUAAGAUUUAAAAUCCCUCAGCCCCAGAAACAGAAAAGACCUCAACGGCUACUGGUCCUCAAUUCCCACCACCACCUCUGAUUGCCACUCAUCUCCAGGAGCUGUCACCCAAUGCCUCCUUGGAACACUCACGGCUUCAGGAACACCAACCUCCUGGGCCUCAUCCUGCCUCUCAGUGUGCAUGGGAGUUCUUCCCCAUGCAGAGCGGCACCUGUCUCCAGCGACAGCGUCUACAGGAUACAGUUGGAACUGUGAAGCACAAUAUUAACACAUCAGGUUAAUUUCAUGCUCUACUUGUCUUGGGCUGAUAUUAACGAAAAUUAAAUUUUGUGCUAAUCAGCCUUGGUGUUCAGCAGGCACGGCAUAAAUUUGCGAUUUCUGGCAAGGGUGGUUAAGUUGUAUUUAUGCUAUUUGUGUGGUGGUCGAAUAACAGGGAAAUACUAUUACCAACAAUUAAACUCCUUGGCUGACAGAUGUCACCAGGCGCAGACAUAGCUGAGUGAGGGCAAGUGGAGGAUUUUCUUCGCAAGUUGGAAAUGGAAAGGA
rnacentral:lncRNA from 1 species